GAGCAAUCUGUGUGACUGCGUACCUUUUGUAUAAUGGGUCAGCGACUUAUAUUCUGUAGCAAGGUUAACCGAAUAGGGGAGCCGAAGGGAAACCGAGUCUUAACUGGGCGUUAAGUUGCAGGGUAUAGACCCGAAACCCGGUGAUCUAGCCAUGGGCAGGUUGAAGGUUGGGUAACACUAACUGGAGGACCGAACCGACUAAUGUUGAAAAAUUAGCGGAUGACUUGUGGCUGGGGGUGAAAGGCCAAUCAAACCGGGAGAUAGCUGGUUCUCCCCGAAAGCUAUUUAGGUAGCGCCUCGUGAAUUCAUCUCCGGGGGUAGAGCACUGUUUCGGCAAGGGGGUCAUCCCGACUUACCAACCCGAUGCAAACUGCGAAUACCGGAGAAUGUUAUCACGGGAGACACACGGCGGGUGCUAACGUCCGUCGUGAAGAGGGAAACAACCCAGACCGCCAGCUAAGGUCCCAAAGUCAUGGUUAAGUGGGAAACGAUGUGGGAAGGCCCAGACAGCCAGGAUGUUGGCUUAGAAGCAGCCAUCAUUUAAAGA
rnacentral:rRNA from 1 species